rnacentral:rRNA from 1 species
AUGGAUCCGACGGAGAUACUGAACGUGAGAUUCCAUUUUGGUGGCGAGUUCAUCAGUAUGGGGCCAAAUUUGCAAUAUGUUGGGGGGGAUGAUGAGAUGUCAGAGAUUGAGAGGGAUAAGUUGUCACUGCAGGAGGUGAAAGGGUUUCUGAAAGAUCAUAUGCAGUUGAAGGAAUCAAUGAAAUUUUAUUUUCAGAUACCUGGGAAAUCAAUGGAAGAUGGCUUGAUGUUUCUGAAUGAUGACAGUAAAUGUGUCCAGAUGGGAGAGUACACUGAUGUGGGAGGAGUAGCUGACAUAUAUGUUGAGUAUCAUGGAGAGGAGGACAGUGAGCAUAGUAGCAGUGGGAGUGAUUUUGAAAAUGAUGAGAUGAUGGAGGUAGUUGAUGCUGAUGAUGAACCUGACAUUGUCAUCACAGCAGAGCAUGUUAUGGUUCCUGAUGAUACUGGUGUGAUCACUCAAGUAAUUUGCAGUCCAGUUAAGCCAGUUCAUGAAAGAAGAAGGCAAGUGGAUGCAGAGCAAGUGGAUGCAGAGCAAGUGGAAGCAGAGCAAGUGGUAGGAAGCUCCCAGCUUCCAGUUUCCCAGGUGUUAAAUCCAACUCAAGCAUCAAGUGAAGAACCAAUUGCUGAAGAUUCAGUUAGUGAGUCUGAUUCAGACCCUGAAUAUGAGCCACACAGUGAGGACAGUGGGGAAAAUUCAGAAGUGUUUAUAAUCCAGUGUACUGUUGCAAACCUGAAAGUGCACCAGCUUUUGUAA